GCAGUAGAGCAUGCAAAUGUCAGAAAGAACCAGCAAAGCCAUGGAAGUGACCUUUCCUCAGUCUUGAGAAGAAGCCGUGGAUCUUUGUGGCAACAGUUUAGUCCUACAACCCAACCUCUGCCACUGCCUGGCUCAACAUGAUGAGACAUCAAGACUGGAGAAUGCAGGUGAUUGCGCGAGGAGACAGGGUGUGCACUUACACUGCUCCAUAAACUGCUCUCUUCAAACAAAGGGUUUGGGACUGGGAGAUGUGUGUGUACACACACACUUGAAAGCACUCUGUCAUACAGCAAAAAAAUAUAUCUGUUCAGAAAUAAACCAGUGACUUCUACCAAGAGAAGAAUUGCAUCCUCACAAGUAAACAACUUUCAUUUUCUGAGAUUCAUAGCAUCAGGGCAUUGAGCUCUGAAACCACGGGAUCCAGUUUCCUGCAGAAGGACUCUAUGGAUGGAGUUGAGGCCCUAUGUUUAACCUACAGGAUAGCCUCAACCUAGAACCUUCCCUCUUCCUCAUUAGGAUCUCACUGUCAAGUUCUCCAUAGGAACUGACAUGCAUUUGAUUUUAGUGCAGAUGCUGGAAGCUUAAAUUUGGAAAAGGAGAGCAAAUGUACUGCAUGGCUUGAAAGUAUUUCAGAGAGUUGGAUUAAUCAGCUGAUUGAAUAUUUUUUGUCUCAUCAGUAGUUCAGCUCAACAAAAGCCUGCACUGCAGUUCACAAAAGAGAAAGAAGACAAAUAAAUUCUUGGCUAUUAAAAAAUUGCUUCUGGGACAUGAAAACACCGAUCUUGUAUGUAGGUCCCUGGCUUGUCUGCAGCCUCCACAGACCUUCUUAAAAGCUGGCGCGGUUCAUCCUGAACCACAUCCAUCCUGAACCACCGUCCAGGCAGACGUGCUACAAGGAUGGGUGUUUACACAUCUCAUUGCUGCAGAGUCCCCAGGAGAUCCUGCAUGCCCAGGUAAUGUCUCAUCAAAAGGAAAAAUUACUCUGGGUAAUGACCUGAGCCAACAAAGAAAAGUCUCUGCAUGAUGGGAACCUGAUUAAACAUGAAAUGCACUUCACACAAGCUCUCUGAUGUGAUUUUACAUGAGUUGAGGUCUUUUCCUUUUCACUUUGGUAUUAAUAGUGCCGAAUAUGCAGAUGAAAAUCAGAAAAUUCUCCAAAGGCAAGUAGUUUAACUUCUCCCUUAUCCCCUUUUCUGUCAUUUCCAAGUAGCAUCACUGACUUUAACCAAAGAAAAGCGUUAUAUAUUCUUAAAUAUAUUCAGGCAAUAUAUUCUUAAAGUGAGGGUUGCUUUGAGAUGAUUGUGUCAGUCUCUACUCAGCUUCAGUUUUUAAACACUUGCAAACAAGACUUUCUGAGGCAUGCAAAUGCCCAAAGUAGCUGUGGUUUUAGCAUAAUUUUGAAGAACAUUUUUGCUUGAAAUUAGUGAGAGUGAGGCAUCCUAUCCCUUUGUGUUUUAAAACGAAGGAGAUAUGAAAUACUUGGAAAGAGCCUGUAACUGCUUCUACUAGUAGUAUAAAAUAGGCCCCACUUGAUUUGUGGCUUAAAGAAGAAGAGAGCAGACAAUCAGUGAGAGACAGCUCCUUCCUUUUAGGGCUGUAAUACCAGAGGACAGAGCUGGAGGUAAGGGGAGGCAGGAGGAAAGCAUGAUCAAAUGGCUUGCCACAGAACAUCUAACACUUCUCUAAAGUACCACCAUUCUGGUAUUUUUUCAGAUAUAAUCUGCCUCAGAGAAAUGUGACAAAUCUCAAUUAACUCUUCAAAGGCUUGCAAUGAUCUUCCAGCAGAAGAAUGUACACUAUAAAUAUAUGUGCGUAGUUUAUAGGCACUUCUACAAACAUAGCUUGUCUGUUUGUUUGUAAUGUUGCUGCUCUAGUGGUAGUGCCAGAAUGGAAGCUUUAUUGAUAUUUUCUGUAAUACUGAUCUUUCAAAGCAGAAAAUUUUUAUGCUUUUCAAGAAUUAUCCUGCAUGCCAAUUAACUCACUUUUUGAGAUGAAUCAUUAGGUAUCUAAGUGUCUCAUAGUGAGCAGCAGGGAGUAACAUCAACACUUCAUGUAUUGCUUCUAGUCGUUCAUCAGGAUUGGAGAUUUCUGUAAAACACCAAACAGUUUAAUGUUAAUCGAGCCUUUCAUUUGUAAACAGCGAUAAUUCAGGAAGCUAAGUUGUCAUUAUGGAGUCCUUCACAAGCCACUGAUUGUGCUUGCAGGGAUAAAUACCAAACUCAUAAACAGGGAGCACAGAAGCAACUUCUCAAAAGAAUGGUGAUUUUACAAAGAAAUCAGCAACAAAAACCACCCCAUAGUCAUAAAAUCACAGAAUCAUAGAAUGGCCUGGGUUGAAAAGGAUCCCAAAGAUCAUCUAGUUUCAACCCCCCUGCUGUGUGCAUUGUCGCCAACCACCAGACCAGGGUGCCCAGAGCCACAUCCAUCCUGGCCUUGAAUGCCUCCAGGGAUGGGGCAUCCACAACUUCCUUGGGCAACCUGUUCCAGUCUGACACCACCCUCUCUAUAGUCUGUAGCUCUAGCUACAGUAGUCGGUACAGUACCUGAGCUUCAUUAAAUUCUUCAUAAUACACUGUGUGAAACUGACUCUUUAAUUCUCGCAUAAGAUUACUUCAAUUAGCCAUCCAAAACAGAUGGGAGUGUGGAUAUGUGCUUCAGAGACUGUUCUUGAUUAUACUGGACUGUGCUGAAGUUUAGGUAGAGACUGAAGUGACAUGGAAUUACACAAACAAGGUGAGACUGCUGAACGUAUUUAAAUACAUUGGAAUAAGUGACGUGAGAACAUCAGUGCUCGCUUAAGACUGGCAGUCUCUCUAAAAAUCUGAUUGGUUUUUACAUGUAUUUUAGCUGAAAAAUAUGAAGUGAGUCAGAUUUGUAUCUGUUGCAUGACUUUUCAUAGGAAUGGUAUCAGGAACAUGAAAUUUUAGAAGAUUAAGAAACUUUAUGCCCUGCUUUUAAAAGAUUACUGUAUUUCACUAUAGGAACUGCUUCCUCUGAGCAUGAUAUUUAUAAGAUGAGUUAUAAAAUAAUUUUAAAUAUAAAAUAAUUAUAAAAUAAUUUCUCUGCCUCGGGAGGAAGAGAAGAGCGCAAAAGCUGCCCGUGGCUGCAAGGGCAGUGCAAGGUUGGGUGACCAGAAGGUGAGCCCAGCAUGGUGACACAGACCUCUUGCUUGUCGAUAUACUGCCGUUUCAAAAUCACUAAGGAUCCUUUUAAAAGAAGAAAGUGUGCUACUUCUUAGGUAUCACAGAUCUCUACAUUCUUUGCUAAGCAGUCAAGUAUUUUUAGACUCUACAUUAAUUUUUAGUUCUUUUUUACCUGCACGAUGUUCCUUCUACAUUAGCAAUUGGGCAAAACUUUCGUUUAAGAGAAAUAUAUGGCUGAGAAAUGCCCGUUUCCAAUUUGUUGUCUGUCUUUAUUGUGAACAGUGCUAUGGAUGGGAAACGUAAUUGAAGAACAGUACAAAUUACUAUGCAAUACUUACU